UACGAAGGGGGCUAGCGUUGUUCGGAAUUACUGGGUUUAAAGGGUGCGUAGGCGGGCAGGUAAGUCCGUGGUGAAAUCUCUGAGCUUAACUCAGAAACUGCCAUGGAUACUAUUUGUCUUGAAUAUUGUGGAGGUAAGCGGAAUAUGUCAUGUAGCGGUGAAAUGCUUAGAUAUGACAUAGAACACCAAUUGCGAAGGCAGCUUACUACACAGUUAUUGACGCUGAGGCACGAAAGCGUGGGGAUCAAACAGG
rnacentral:rRNA from 1 species